AGCGAACGCUGGCGGCAGGCCUAACACAUGCAAGUCGAACGAACUCUUCGGAGUUAGUGGCGGACGGGUGAGUAACACGUGGGAACGUGCCUUUUGGUUCGGAAUAACUCAGGGAAACUUGUGCUAAUACCGAAUGUGCCCUUCGGGGGAAAGAUUUAUCGCCAUUAGAGCGGCCCGCGUCUGAUUAGCUAGUUGGUGAGGUAACGGCUCACCAAGGCGACGAUCAGUAGCUGGUCUGAGAGGAUGACCAGCCACACUGGGACUGAGACACGGCCCAGACCCCUGGGGGAGGAAGCGGGGGGGAAUCUUGCGAAAGGGGCGAAAGCCUGACGCAGCCAUGCCGGGUGAAUGAUGAAGGUCUAAGGAUUGAAAAUUUUUUUCACGGGGGAGGAUAAGGAGGGUACCGGGAAAAGAACCCCCGGCUAACUUCGGG
rnacentral:rRNA from 1 species